AUACGGAGGCUGCGAGCGUUAUCCGGAUUUAUUGGGUUUAAAGGGAGCGUAGGCGGGAUAUUAAGUCAGCUGUGAAAGUUUGGGGCUCAACCUUAAAAUUGCAGUUGAUACUGGUUUCCUUGAGUACGGUACAGGUGGGCGGAAUUCGUGGUGUAGCGGCGAAAUGCUUAGAUAUCACGAAGAACUCCGAUCGCGAAGGCAGCUCACCGGGCCGGAACUGACACUGAUGCUCGAAAGUGCGGGUAUCAAACAGGAUUAGAUACCCUGGUAGUCCGCACAGUAAACGAUGAACACUCGCUGUUUGCGAUACACGGUAAGCGGCCAAGCGAAAGCGUUAAGUAUUCCACCUGGGGAGUACGCCGGCAACGGUGAAACUCAAAGGAAUUGACGGGG
rnacentral:rRNA from 1 species